AUUGAACGCUGGCGGCAGGCCUUACACAUGCAAGUCGAACGGCAGCACAGUAAGUGCCAGCUGUUAGGGGUGGGGGGUCGGGGGAGUGUGAGAACGAAAUCGGUAUCUAAGUUUUCGAGGGCGCUACGGUAGGGGGAUUUACGCUACUACCGAACACGAGCUGAGGGCGAAAGCAGGGGAGGCUCGGCGCUUGCGCGAUGGACUGAGCCGAUGUCGGAUUAGCUAGUUGGCGGGGUAAAGGCCCACCAAGGCGACGAUCUGUAGCUGGUCUGAGAGGAUGAUCAGCCACACUGGAACUGAGACACGGUCCAGACUCCUACGGGAGGCAGCAGUGGGGAAUAUUGGACAAUGGGCGCAAGCCUGAUCCAGCCAUACCGCGUGGGUGAAGAAGGCCUUCGGGUUGUAAAGCCCUUUUGUUGGGAAAGAAAAGCAGCAGGUUAAUACCCCGCUGUUCUGACGGUACCCAAAGAAUAAGCACCGGCUAACUUCGUG
rnacentral:rRNA from 1 species